GCCUUUGUCGAUUAAUGGAGAUCACCCUGCUAAUAUUCGAUCGAACUCGUGUUCUCGGGGAGGCGAGGGUUCGAGUCCCUCCGAAUGCA